GAUCAGAAGCGGACAAGCAAACAGCGGAUGUGCAGUUCCUCUCUUCGCCGAACCCGGUUUUCCCUUUCGGAGCAGCGCGACCGAUUUCCGGUUUCCCCGCCGCAACCACCGUUACCCCCCCCCCGCCCCAAUCCCCGGCGACUCCAGCGACGUCACCGGUUCAGCUCCUGACCUUUCGGCGAACCGCAGAACCACAGGCGACCCGUUCGACGUCAUCACUCCCCGCCCAGAUGUCGCUGUGACAUCACCCCGCACGUGCCUGCGCUGGCACCGCGUCGUCCUGGCGAGCGCCUCCUCGCGGCGGAAGGAGAUCCUGGGGUUCGCUGUGCGAGACAUGUCGGCGGGGUUUCACGUGAGUGACACUUGGUCCCCACGGGAUUGACAGCGACUAGCGGAGUGGCAUGUGGACGUAGCUUCAGGCCUUGGAGGGGCUGAUCCUGGAGAAGUCAAAGGACCAGGAGGACGCCAUGGGGGGUGCUGUACAGGCUGAGCAGGAAGCAGAGCAGCACAGCGUCAUCAUGAGGGUAGCCAUCUUCACCUGGGGCAUCCACGGAGGCCCUGCCCAGGAAGUGACUUUCUCUCUACUGUAGGAGGAGCUGAUCCACGACUACUUGGACAACAGCACACCAGCGAAGGAUGGGACAAGGCCUGGGGCCUCCGCCAUCCAUGCGUGGGGAGUGAUGCUGGUAGAGGGCAAAUUGGUGACGUCAUCAAUGCAGCGGGCUUCCCACUCAACCACUUUAGCCGCAAGCUUGCAAGGGCAGCUGCCAGAGACAGGAAGUGACAUCGCUGUGGAGAGGGCAGCAGGAAGUGAGGUGGAAGAAAAGUGUUUUGAAACUGACCCUACAGAUAAAAGAGUUCAUCAUGAAUGCGAUACCCUCCUAUACAGUUGUUAGAAGCAACCCUCCAUCUCCAACUCCAAAAAUAAAUGAAAACCAAACCACACAGUUGGAAAUCAGGGGUCUGCAACAACACAAGGAAGCAAGCAACCCGUGAGAAAGCACUGGCAUGGAUGAAAACAGACUCACUGGAAAGAUGCAAAGCAAUGUCAGGUUACACAACAAAAGGCAAUUACAGUCAUAUGAGGGAGUGUUCGAAAAGUUGUAAUUUGAAAACUGUUUUUGGUUGUCCUUUAGUUGGCCUCCUCUGUAAAUUGUGACAGACAUCUCCUGACAACACUUAAAGCAUCUCAAACCAUCCUUGCCCUGAUCUAUGAGUUCUCAGAACAGAAGGACUACUGAGCCAGGCGUGGUAGCACAUGCCUGUGAUCCUACAACUCAGAAGACAGAAGAGGAAUUCUAGGUCAGCCUGGGCUAGACAGACAGCAAGACUCUUGUUUUGUUUUGAAAGGCUGGUGAGGUAGUUCAGCGGGUUAACUGCCUGGUCUAAGCCCAGUGACGUGAGUUUGUGUGCUGUGGAGCUUCUGCAAACCCUGCCCCUGCCAAAUAAAAACUCGUAAUUUAUAACUCACAAAAA
rnacentral:lncRNA from 1 species